GCCAUGGGAGCCGGGGGUGGCUUGAAGUGCGUCGCCGCAAGGCGCGCCCUAGAGCAAAACCGGUGACUGGGGCUAAGUCGUAACAAGGUACC
rnacentral:rRNA from 1 species